AACGAACGCUGGCGGCAUGCCUAACACAUGCAAGUCGAACGAGACCUUCGGGUCUAGUGGCGCACGGGUGCGUAACGCGUGGGAACCUGCCCUUAGGUUCGGAAUAACUCCCCGAAAGGGGUGCUAAUACCGGAUAAUGUCUUCGGAUCAAAGAUUUAUCGCCUUUGGAUGGGCCCGCGUUGGAUUAGCUAGUUGGUAGGGUAAAAGCCUACCAAGGCGACGAUCCAUAGCUGGUCUGAGAGGAUGAUCAGCCACACUGGGACUGAGACACGGCCCAGACUCCUACGGGAGGCAGCAGUGGGGAAUAUUGGACAAUGGGCGAAAGCCUGAGCCAGCAAUGCCGCGUGAGUGAUGAAGGCCUUAGGGUUGUAAAGCUCUUUUACCCGGGAUGAUAAUGACAGUACCGGGAGAAUAAGCUCCGGCUAACUCCGUG
rnacentral:rRNA from 1 species